AUUGAACGCUGGCGGCAGGCCUAACACAUGCAAGUCGAGCGGAUGAAGGGAGCUUGCUCCUGGAUUCAGCGGCGGACGGGUGAGUAAUGCCUAGGAAUCUGCCUGGUAGUGGGGGAUAACGUCCGGAAACGGGCGCUAAUACCGCAUACGUCCUGCGGGAGCAAGUGGGGGAUCUUCGGACCUCACGCUAUCAGAUGAGCCUAGGUCGGAUUAGCUAGUUGGUGGGGUAAAGGCCUACCAAGGCGACGAUCCGUAACUGGUCUGAGAGGAUGGUCAGUCACACGGGAACUGAGACACGGUCCAUACGCCUACGGGAGGCAGCAGUGGGGAAUAUUGGACAAUGGUCGAAAGCCUGAUCCAGCCAUGCCGCGUGUGUGAAGAAGGUCUUCGGAUUGUAAAGCACGUUAAGUUGUGAGGAAGGGCAGUAAGUUGAUACCUUGCUGUUUUGACGUUACCAACAGAAUAAGCACCGGCUAACUUCGUG
rnacentral:rRNA from 1 species